rnacentral:rRNA from 1 species
GACGAACGCUGGCGGCGUGCUUAACACAUGCAAGUCGAACGGAAAGGCCCUGCUUUUGUGGGGUGCUCGAGUGGCGAACGGGUGAGUAACACGUGAGUGACCUGCCCUUGACUUUGGGAUAACUUCAGGAAACUGGGGCUAAUACCGGAUAGGAGCUCCUGCUGCAUGGUGGGGGUUGGAAAGUUUCGGCGGUCGGGGAUGGACUCGCGGCUUAUCAGCUUGUUGGUGGGGUAGUGGCUUACCAAGGCUUUGACGGGUAGCCGGCCUGAGAGGGUGACCGGCCACAUUGGGACUGAGAUACGGCCCAGACUCCUACGGGAGGCAGCAGUGGGGAAUAUUGCACAAUGGGCGGAAGCCUGAUGCAGCAACGCCGCGUGCGGGAUGACGGCCUUCGGGUUGUAAACCGCUUUCGCCUGUGACGAAGCGUGAGUGACGGUAAUGGGUAAAGAAGCACCGGCUAACUACGUG